GAUGAACGCUGGCGGCGUGCCUAAUACAUGCAAGUCGAGCGAACAGAUAAGGAGCUUGCUCCUUUGACGUUAGCGGCGGACGGGUGAGUAACACGUGGAUAACCUACCUAUAAGACUGGGAUAACUUCGGGAAACCGGAGCUAAUACCGGAUAACAUAUUGAACCGCAUGGUUCAAUAGUGAAAGGCGGCUUUGCUGUCACUUAUAGAUGGAUCCGCGCCGUAUUAGCUAGUUGGUAAGGUAACGGCUUACCAAGGCAACGAUACGUAGCCGACCUGAGAGGGUGAUCGGCCACACUGGAACUGAGACACGGUCCAGACUCCUACGGGAGGCAGCAGUAGGGAAUCUGCCGCAAUGGGCGAAAGCCUGACGGAGCAACGCCGCGUGAGUGAUGAAGGUCUUCGGAUCGUAAAACUCUGUUAUCAGGGAAGAACAAAUGUGUAAGUAACUGUGCACAUCUUGACGGUACCUGAUCAGAAAGCCACGGCGAACUACGU
rnacentral:rRNA from 1 species